rnacentral:lncRNA from 1 species
CGGCUUAAAUUCCAAAACCCUUGAUUACUAGAACCAAUACCAACAGAUACACCAACAUCACAAAAUCAUUUAAGAAAAAUAAAUUUAAGUCUGCAGAAUUCUCUCAAAUAAGUCGCACUUGCCUUGCUUUAUAUAUAUAUAUAUAUAUAUAUAUAUAUUAACCUUUUUUGACAAGGGAAAUAACCAAAACGAUGUACUUGGGUGUAGUCUUUGACAAGUGAUCAUCCACAAUGUCGCCAUACCUUUUAAAUAGAUCAUCCAUUAUAUGUCCUCCAAAGUGGAAUUCCAG